rnacentral:tRNA from 2 species
UAUUUGUUGGUGUAUAGCGCACAGAAAGUUUUGAUCUUUAAAGUAAUGGUGUAACUCCGUUGCAGAUAA